rnacentral:sRNA from 1 species
AUUUAAUAUUGUAUAAUUGUAUUUUGAUUGUUGUUUCUCGGAUUUCACCCGUAGUACACCAUCCCAUAUUAAUAUCGAAUCAAACCCGUCAAUUCUAAGAUUUCACCCGUAGUAGUAUUUAAUUGUAUAAUUAUAUUUUAAUUGUCAUUCUAGGAUUUCACUCCUAAUUCUAUCGCAAAUUAUUAUCAACCCAAACCAGUCAAUUCUAAAAUAUCACCCGUAAUACACCAUCCCAUAUUAAUAUCGAAUCAAACCCGUCAAUUCUAUGAUUUCACCCGUGGUAGUAUUUAAUUGUAUAAUUAUAUUUUAAUUGUCAUUCUAAAAUUUCACUCCUAAUUCUAUCGCAAAUUAUUAUCAACCCAAACCAGUCAAUUCUAAAAUAUCACCCGUAGUACACCAUCCCAUAUUAAUAUCGAUUCAAACUCGUCAAUUCUAGGAUUUCACUCGUGGUAGUAUUUAAUUGUAUAACUAUAUUUUGAUUGUCAUUCUAGGAUUUAACUCCUAGUUCUAUCGCAAAUUCUUAUCAACCCAAACAGUCAAUUCUAAAAUUUCACCCGUAUUAUAAAGUUUAAAUAUUUAUAAUGUUUAAAUUUCUUAUAAAAUAAUCAAAAUGUGUUUUAAAAAAAUUAAAGUUUUAAGUGUUUUUUUUUAAUAUUGUUAAUUUUGUUUAGUGUUUAAGAUUAUAUAAUUAUAUUAUGAUUGUUAUUAUAUGUUUUUUUCAUAGCAUACUAUCCCAUGUUAUUAUCCACUCAAACCCGUCACGCCAUAUAACCCCGUCCCGUGAAAUUAAACACAAAUUUGUCAUUUUAUUAUAAAUAU